AUUGUUUCAAUUAUAUAAAAUGGAAAUUCAUUACCAACAGCGUCCUCCUCGUCCCUGUCCCCUUGUUCGCCACACGCAAGAGCAAGGUCCGGAUGGAGAAUGAGUCGGGAAUACUGUCGCGAUUCCCGAAUGAUAGCGAUAAUAAUAAUUGCAAUGUUGUUGCUGUGAGCAACUCAGACGUAUUCAGCAUUUCGUCAAGGAAGA